rnacentral:rRNA from 1 species
UGCACAGGUGCUGCAUGGCUGUCGUCAGCUCGUGUCGUGAGAUGUUGGGUUAAGUCCCGCAACGAGCGCAACCCUUAUCCCCUAGUUGCCAUCAGGUAAAGCUGGGAACUCUGGGGGAGACUGCCGGUGAUAAACCGGAGGAAGGCGGGGAUGACGUCAAGUCCUCAUGGCCCUUACAUCCCGGGCUACACACGUGCUACAAUGGCAGGUACAGAGGGCUGCGAAGCCGCGAGGUGGAGCGAAUCCCAGAAAACCUGUCUCAGUCCGGAUUGAAGUCUGCAACUCGACUUCAUGAAGGCGGAAUCGCUAGUAACCGCGAAUCAGCAGGUCGCGGUGAAUACGUUCCCGGGCCUU